rnacentral:rRNA from 1 species
UACGGAGGGGGCUAGCGUUGUUCGGAAUUACUGGGCGUAAAGCGCACGUAGGCGGCUUUGUAAGUUAGAGGUGAAAGCCCGGAGCUCAACUCCGGAAUUGCCUUUAAGACUGCAUCGCUCGAAUCAUGGAGAGGUGAGUGGAAUUCCGAGUGUAGAGGUGAAAUUCGUAGAUAUUCGGAAGAACACCAGUGGCGAAGGCGACUCACUGGACACAUAUUGACGCUGAGGUGCGAAAGCGUGGGGAGCAAACAGG